AUUGAACGCUGGCGGCAGGCUUAACACAUGCAAGUCGAGCGGGGUGAUGGUGCUUGCACUAUCACUUAGCGGCGGAUGGGUGAGUAAUGCUUAGGAAUCUGCCUAUUAGUGGGGGACAACAUCUCGAGAGGGAUGCUAAUACCGCAUACGUCAUACGGGAGAAAGCAGGGGAGCAUUUGCGACCUUGCGCGAAUAGAUGAGCCUAAGUCGGAUUAGCUAGUUGGUGGGGUAAAGGCCUACCAAGGCGACGAUCUGUAGCGGGUCUGAGAGGAUGAUCCGCCACACUGGGACUGAGACACGGCCCAGACUCCUACGGGAGGCAGCAGUGGGGAAUAUUGGACAAUGGGGGGAACCCUGAUCCAGCCAUGCCGCGUGUGUGAAGAAGGCCUUAUGGUUGUAAAGCACUUUAAGCGAGGAGGAGGCUCUUUUGGUUAAUACCCAAGAUGAGUGGACGUUACUCGCAGAAUAAGCACCGGCUAACUCUGUGCCAGCCGCCGCCGUAA
rnacentral:rRNA from 1 species